GCCUUGAUUGUGGCAGUUAGUCGCAGCGCGAUGAGCGCCUCGCUCGCCUCCGCCCAGGAGGUCGGGCUGGGCCUUGAGGCAGCUGUUGUUGGUAGCGCUGAACGUGGCUGCGCCCAUUGAACGGCGAGGGAGCGACGGGAGCCGCUAUAGGUGAGGCCGCCUCGGCAAGCCUCGCCGCCCAAAGAGAAGGCGCGAGAGAGAGAAACCUCCCAUAUGGAUAAGCUUGGUAGUGAUGUUGAAGCUGGAAAAAAGCAUCUAUAAUAAAAAAACAGGAUGAGUCGGCUGCUAGAUGAUCAAGAAAAUGCCCAUGGCAGCAGUCUGGGCUCCCAUCCUUCUUUACGGGAACUUCAUUCCAUCAACCCUGCACAGCUAAUGGCAAGAAUUGAAUCUUAUGAAAGCAGAGAGAAAAAAGGCAUAUCUGAUGUCCGAAGGACUUUCUGCUUGUUUGUCACUUUUGACCUCUUGUUUGUAACCUUGCUGUGGAUAAUAGAGCUAAAUGUAAAUGGUGGCAUUGAGAAAACAUUAGAAAAAGAAGUCCUCCACUAUGACUACCGUUUUUCAUAUUUUGAUAUAUUUCUCCUGGCAGUCUUUCGGUUUAAGAUUUUGAUACUUGCUUAUGCAUUGUGCAGACUGCGACACUGGUGGGCAAUAGCAUUUACUACAGCAGUAACCAGUGCCUUCCUAUUAGUAAAAGUCAUUCUCUCUAAGCUAUUAUCUCAAGGUGCUUUUGGCUAUGUGUUGCCCAUCAUAUCUUUCAUUCUUGCCUGGAUAGAAACCUGGUUUCUGGAUUUCAAAGUUCUACCACAAGAAGCAGAAGAGGAAAACAGAUUACUGUUGGUUCAGGAUGCCUCUGAGCGAGCUGCCCUUAUUCAGCCUGGUCUCCCCUCUGAAGGGCAGUUUUAUUCCCCUCCUGAAUCUGAAGCAGAAAUCACAUCAGAGAAUUUCAACAUGAAGCAAGUCAUCAGUGGUCAACAGCCAUGUGGUCAGGAGGAAAGAGCAAUCCAGCUUGAUAAGGCUGUGGAGUGGAGGCCAAUUCAGAUGGUUCACCUCAGGAGACCAUUGGAAUCCAAUGGAUUUUGGAAUGCUCUUGAAGAUUUCCCAGGCAUAGAGCUGGAGCUCCAGCUAAGGCCCUAGUCUCACUGUGGAUUGUUGUGAUACCAAAGGCCAUAGACUUGCUCCUGGCCAUGUGUCCUUAUCAACACUCUAGAGACCACUCUGCUCCUUGGAAUACUGGUGAUCUGUGGUCCAUAAAACAGGCUGGACAUCUGCUAGAGCGCAGAUGUCGUAAGACCCACAGUGAUGAUGACCAAACAUGCUCUGGAACACAUAACUGAGUCUAUUGCAGGAAGCAAAGAAGUGUUACAUUGUUGCUUCCAUUGUGUCCUCAAGUAGCCAUGUAGCAGGACUCUCCAGGGUGGUUCAGGGGCUGUUUACACCUGGGCCCCACAUAGAUCUGUGACCUUUUUGCAUCAUGCUUUGAGGCAAAAUUGCUUGUCUCUGCAGUGCUCUUGAUGCUGUUAGUGCAGCUCCAGUUGAAGUGUCAGCUGCCACCAUUUGCUUGAUUUUAUGGGAUCAAUUUCCAUUAUUAUGGCCUGAUAAUGUGGGCAAGAUGCUUGCAGCAGUGUGACUGACUACAUGCUCGCUUGAUCCUUACCCUUCCUGCCUGAUAAAAGCUAGCCAAGGAUGGUCUAACUGGGUGGGUCUGAAGAGUAGUAAAUGCAUCUUUGCCUGGAGGGGUGGGGUGGUGCCUGCUGUUCUUGAAGAGACAGUACUAUGCAGCCACACCUGGAAAAAACCCCCUCUGGACCCAACACUAUUUGAUGACUACCGUCCGGAAGCAAGCAAGCCCUUUUUAGAGAAGGUGGUUGAGCAACUGCAGGCACUCUUGGAGGAUGCUGGUGUCUAUUUCAGUCUUGGUUUUGACCUGGUUAUGGGAGUGAAUUAGUUUGGGCUGCCUUGAUGACUGAUCUCUAUUAAGAAAGAGACGGGAGUGUCCCCCUGCCAGUUCUACUUGAUCUUUCACCAGUUUUUGAUAGCCUUGACCAGGGUAGCCUCCUGGAUUGACUCUGAGUCAAUUAUUGAAGGCAGUGGUUCUAGUCUUAACUUAAAGGUCAGUUCCAAAGAGUAACACUGGGUGACUGUCAUUUCUUGAAUUGCUGCAGUUCCACAGGGGAUUCCUCAGUGUUACUUAAGAGGCAUAUGAAAUGGCUUGGCGUGGUUAUUAGAGGAUUUGGAGUGCCAUCAGUGAGCUGAUGACAGUCAGUUCUAUCUCCCUGCAACAGCUAAAUAAGGAGAGGCUGUGCAAGUCCUGGAUCAGUAUCUGGACUCAUUGAUGGCUGGAUAAAGGCCAAUAAACCGAAACUGAAUCCUGGAAAAACAGAAGCCUUGUGGUGAAUGAUUCUGGAAUCUGGAUGAUCAGUUUAUUACCUGUUCCCCCUGAAGCAGCACGUUCAUAGCCUGGGGGUACUCCUAGACCCAUUGUUGUUGAUAGAAUCCCAAGUGACUGUAGUGUAGUGCCUUUUGAUAGUGGCAACUUCCUCUGAACAGAGAUAGCUUGGCCACAGUGGCCGAUGCACUGGUAACCUCAAGACUAGAUUGUUAUAGUGUGCUUCAUGUGGGCCGACUCUUAAGGUUGUUCCCGAAGCUGCAGUUAGUGAAGAAUGCUGUGGGGAGCUGUCUUUUUUUUUACUUGCAGUUCCUUUGCUGAAGCAACUAUGCUGGCUUGGCUACCAGUUUGCUGCAAAGCCAGAUUUAAAGAUUUAGUACUAGUGUACAAAGUCUUGAACAACUUGAGGGCAGGAUAGAGAGAAAGCACCUUUUCUUGUGCCAACCUGCCUAGUCACUGAGGUCAUCAAAGGACAUUCUGAGGGUGAUUCCACAUGGAGCCAUGGCCUGUCUGAAGUCCACCAGGAGGAGCCUUCGUUACAGCAGUUCCAUUUCUAUAGAAUCCCCUGCCUUUAAAGAUUAGACAGGAUCUGAUGAAGAAUCAGAAGAAAAACAGGACAGUGAGAAACCAGUAGUAUAGCAAAUACGGCAAUAAGAG